CCUUCAGCAUUUGUGGUGAUGCAAUCAGCAGGAAAAAGAAGAACAAGGAGAAAGCAAAUAUGCUAAAUUCCCCAGACUGACCUGACUGUCAAGCCCCAGCAAGAUGAUCAUGAUGAAGAAGAAGACCGCCCACAGCUGGGGGACAGGCAUCAUGGCCACCGCCCGUGGUUCUUACCUGACUCAGCCACCACAGAGAUGUCCACUCCUUGCUCCUGGGCCAUGAAGCCCAGCACAGAGAAGAUGGCAAAGCCAGCCACAAAGCUGGUUGUACUGUUCAGCAAGCAGAG